rnacentral:rRNA from 1 species
AUACGUAGGGGGCGAGCGUUGUCCGGAAUGAUUGGGCGUAAAGGGCGCGUAGGCGGCGCGGUAAGUCUGGAGUGAAAGUCCUGCUUUCAAGGUGGGAAUUGCUUUGGAUACUGCCGCGCUUGAGUGCAGGAGAGGUUAUCGGAAUUCCCGGUGUAGCGGUGAAAUGCGUAGAGAUCGGAAGGAACACCAGUGGCGAAGGCGGGUAACUGGACUGCAACUGACGCUGAGGCGCGAAAGUGUGGGGAGCAAACAGGAUUAGAUACCCUGGUAGUCCACACUGUAAACGAUGAAUGCUAGGUGUAAGAGGUAUCGACCCCUUUUGUGCCGGAGUCAACACAAUAAGCAUUCCGCCUGGGGAGUACGGCCGCAAGGUUGAAACUCAAAUGAAUUGACGGGG